CCGCAGCCCUCGCCUGGCCCCAAUCACCAACCUGAGUGAGAACGGCAGGAAGCUGCUCCAGAAAAUGUCAGGAGGGACGCCACAGGAAAGGAAGGUCAAAAGGAAAAAGACCAAGGGAAAAAAGCAAGUGAAGAAAGAGAAGGCCAGUAAGAUGCAGCAGGUGGAAAAUGUUGGAGAAAGUAAGGAGGACAAGAAAGAGGAAAUGACGAGUCUGAGGAAGAGGUUUCUCCAGUGGCUGCUGCCCAAACUGAGAUGUUCGAAGAAAUAAUGGCCAACUACUACUACAGCACACACACAUACUAUUGAUAUUGGUCUCAUUGUUAUAUUUUGAGACAUGCACCAUUCUUAAAAAAAUAAAAAAGACCCAAUAAUUAUAUUGGUUCCCAUACAGCCUACUAGGGUAGCG
ensembl:lncRNA